rnacentral:rRNA from 1 species
GAUCAUGGCUCAGAACGAACGCUGGCGGCAGGCUUAACACAUGCAAGUCGAGCGAGACCUUCGGGUCUAGCGGCGGACGGGUGAGUAACGCGUGGGAACGUGCCCUUCUCUACGGAAUAGCCCCGGGAAACUGGGAGUAAUACCGUAUACGCCCUUUGGGGGAAAGAUUUAUCGGAGAAGGAUCGGCCCGCGUUGGAUUAGGUAGUUGGUGGGGUAAUGGCCCACCAAGCCGACGAUCCAUAGCUGGUUUGA